UUGUACAGAUCUAAGUGUACGAA
rnacentral:snRNA from 1 species